rnacentral:lncRNA from 1 species
GGAGGGAUCACUGCAGUCACGGUCAAUCAACCAGAGCCUGCUGAGCCCCCUUAUCCUAGAGGUGAACCCCAACAUCCAGGCCGUGCGCAUCCAGGGGAAGGAGCAGAUCAAGACCCUCAACAAGAAGUUUGCCUCCUUCAUAGACAAGGUACGGUUCCUGGAGCAGCAGAACAAGAUGCUGGAGACCAAGUGGAGCCUCCUGCAGCAGCAGACGACGACUCGGAGCAACAUGGACAACAUGUUCGAGAGCUACAUCAACAACCUUAGGCGGCAG